CGUCAAUUUGCAAACACUAACCAUAGAAAAUUUUGGAAACAUGUUAAAUUUCAGCAAAGAUAUCUUCUAUUGUACAAAGAAUAUUGUUUUUUAAAUAGAAACUAAUAUAUUCUAUAGUAAAUGAAAGUUAUAGAAAGAUUCCACAAUUUACCCUAAAAUGGAAUUAUAUAGAAUAUGAACAAGAUAAAUUAUAAAGUAUAUAUUGAUAUUACACAACUUUUAAAAGUUUCAUUGUCAAGAAUCAUUAUAAUUCGUUUAAAAUGAUUUUUUUCGGAUAUGGAUAUUGGUAUUGAUAUUGAAGGGAGGCGCGCUCGUGGGCGUCCAAGCAUUUAGGCCACCAGACCGCUCUAGAGAACGUCGAAAAUGCCACCCUUUCUAUAGAAGUAAAUAUGAAACUCCAAAAUUAAUACACACAAGGAACUAUCAUCAUGAAAAAUCGUUACAUUUCAACUGAGAUGGUUUGAAUCAAAGAUAAAUAAAUGUGUCUCAUAAAGUUAUAUUAAUUAAAAAUUGUUAUCUAAUGUAAUGAAAUUUAGUUAUUUUUACUUUAAAUCACCAUCCAAAGUAUUAGAAAUUAUGAUAGACCCAACUACAGUCAAAUGAUGGAUUAUUUGAUGCGGUUUUACAAUGCCCUUCCGAGUUGCAAACUAUGGUAAACGCGAACACAGUUAAACGUAGAAAAUGUCAAAAUGGGUACAUGUCGACGAAUUUUUAAAUUAAAGGAUUCAAAAAAUUUGCAGAAAGAGAAUUGAUACAAGAACUAGAUGUUUCACUACCCCCUAAAAAAAAAAGCUGACGUCCCAGGUAACAAAUUAGACCAUUGAAGAACCGCUUAGAAGAGGGUAGUUUAACAGCAAAAAUUAUCAUCAAUGAGUUAUCAAUAAAACGACUUCUGAUAACUUCUAGAGAAAUUAUCAUAAGAAAUUAAAUAAAAACCAUCAUUGCCAAUUUGGAAAGAAAAUUAUCCAAGUAAAAUAUUAUUCGGAUAAAUGAAUAUAAACACAGGUGGACAAUAAAUCACUACCGACAACUUAGUUAUGAAGAAUAUCAUUCAUCAAUUAUGAAAAAAAAAAGACAAUUUUAUUAAAUAAACAAUCAUUGAAACUUUGUAAGUAUUCGUCG